GUUUGAUCCUGGCUCAGGAUGAACGCUAGCGGCAGGCCUAAUACAUGCAAGUCGAGGGGUAGAGCUAGCUUGCUAGCUUGAGACCGGCGCACGGGUGCGUAACGCGUAUGCAACCUACCCUUUUCUGGGGGAUAGCCCGAAGAAAUUCGGAUUAAUACCGCAUAAGACCACGAUACGGCAUCGUGAUGUGGUCAAACAUUUAUGGGAGAAGGAUGGGCAUGCGUGCCAUUAGCUAGUUGGCGGGGUAACGGCCCACCAAGGCGACGAUGGCUAGGGGAUCUGAGAGGAUGGCCCCCCACACUGGUACUGAGACACGGACCAGACUCCUACGGGAGGCAGCAGUAAGGAAUAUUGGUCAAUGGAGGCAACUCUGAACCAGCCAUGCCGCGUGCAGGAAGACGGCCCUCUGGGUUGUAAACUGCUUUUAUUCGGGAAUAAACCUAGAUACGUGUAUCUAGCUGAAUGUACCGAAGGAAUAAGGAUCGGCUAACUCCGUG
rnacentral:rRNA from 1 species